rnacentral:lncRNA from 1 species
AGUUUGAUUUUGAAUUUGAGUUUGAUUUUGAUUUUUAGUUUCUCUUUAAUUGUUAAUGUUCUUUGAAUUCGAUUUUUAGUCGAGUUUGUAAGCAUGAAUGCAUGAUAAUGAAGAAGGAGUCCGUUUUUGAAGCAAAAUAUAUAAUCAUUUCAUUCAUAUUCAUAAUUAAGAACACCCAUAAACAUAUAUCUUUAUAAAUACUUAAAUAAAAUUCAUAAUAAAACACUUGAAAACAACUUUAACAACUUCAAAUCCCCGAAGGGCCCGCC